AUCCUUGUGCAAGAAGUCUUAACACCCACUUUUGUGACCCUUUACAGCCGGAGGUCUCCGUGCAACGCCCCCUGACAUGCCCCCAACCCCCGACCCUAUAACACCGCAACUCCCCUGGCCCCGUUGUGUGACCUGUCGUGCAAACCCUCGUGCAAACCCUCAUGCAAGAAACCACCAAACCCACUUCUAUGCCCCCCCAGAGCCGGAGGUCUCCGUGCAACGCCCCCUCAAGCACCCCCAACCCCCAUCCCUAUAACACUGUGACAUCUGCACGACCCUAGUGUGACUCCUCGUGCAAACCCUCGUGCAAGAAAUCUCCAAAGUAACCUCCACGACCCUUUUAGAGCCGGAGGUCUCCGUGCAACGCCCCCCCAAGCGCCCCCAACCCCCGACCCUAUAACACCGCGAUCCCCCCGGACCCCUCAUGUAACCCGUCGUGAAAACCCUCGUGCAAGAAACCCCCAAACCCACUUCUAUGCCCCCCCAGAGCCAGAGGUCUCCAUGCAACGCCCCCUCAAGCGCCCCCAUCCCCCGACCCUAUAACACCACGACCCCCCCUGACCCCUUGUGUGACCCCCCGUGCAAAUCCUCGUGCAAGAAGUCUCAAAACCCACUUUUGUGACCCUUUACAGCCUGAGGUCUCCGUGCAACGCCCCCUGACGUGCCCCCAACCCCCGACCCUAUAACACCGCGACUCCCCCCCGCCCCCCCGGGCCCCAUUGUGCGACCUGUCGUGCAAACCCUCGUGCAAGAAACCACCUAACCCACUUCUAUGGCCCCCCAGAGCCGGAAGUCUCCGUGCAACGCCCCCUCAAGCGCCCCCAUCCCCCAACCCUAUAACACUGCGACCCCCCCGACCCUGUUGUGCGACCUGUCGUGCAAACCCUCGUGCAAGAAAUCUCCAAAGUAACCUCCACGACCCUUUUAGAGCCGGAGGUCUCCGUGCAACGCCCCCUCAAGCACCCCCAACCCCCAUCCCUAUAACACUGUGACAUCUGCACGACCCUAGUG
rnacentral:lncRNA from 1 species